rnacentral:rRNA from 1 species
GAGCGGACCGGAUCGGGGCUUGCCUUGAUUCGGUCAGCGGCGGACGGGUGAGUAACACGUGGGCAACCUGCCCGCAAGACCGGGAUAACUCCGGGAAACCGGAGCUAAUACCGGAUAACACCGAAGACCGCAUGGUCUUUGGUUGAAAGACGGCCUUUGGGCUGUCACUUGCGGAUGGGCCCGCGGCGCAUUAGCUAGUUGGUGAGGUAACGGCUCACCAAGGCGACGAUGCGUAGCCGGCCUGAGAGGGUGACCGGCCACACUGGGACUGAGACACGGCCCAGACUCCUACGGGAGGCAGCAGUAGGGAAUCUUCCGCAAUGGACGAAAGUCUGACGGAGCGACGCCGCGUGAGCGAAGAAGGUCUUCGGAUCGUAAAGCUCUGUUGUUAGGGAAGAAGAAGUACCGUUCGAAUAGGG